AACACAUGCAAGUCGAGGGGCAGCGGGGACGGGGCUUCGGCCCCGUCCGCCGGCGACCGGCGCACGGGUGAGUAACACGUAUGCAACCUGCCCUUUGCAGGGGAAUAAGCAGGAGAAAUCCUGUCUAAUUCCGCAUAAUCCCCUGGGAGGACAUCCUCCCCGGGGCAAAGGAGCGAUCCGGCAAAGGAUGGGCAUGCGCCGCAUUAGCUGGUUGGUGAGGUAACGGCCCACCAAGGCGACGAUGCGUAGGGGUUCUGAGAGGAAGACCCCCCACACUGGUACUGAGACACGGACCAGACUCCUACGGGAGGCAGCAGUGAGGAAUAUUGGUCAAUGGGCGCAAGCCUGAACCAGCCAAGUAGCGUGAGGGACGACGGUCCUAUGGAUUGUAAACCUCUUUAGCCGGGGAGCAAGGCCUUCCACGCGUGGGAGGCAAGAGAGUACCCGGAGAAUAAGCAUCGGCUAACUCCGUGCCAGCAGCCGCGGUAAUACGGAGGAUGCGAGCGUUAUCCGGAUUUAUUGGGUUUAAAGGGUGCGUAGGCGGGGCCUUAAGUCAGCGGUAAAAUCAGCGGGCUCAACCCGUUCCGGCCGUUGAAACUGAGGUCCUUGAGUGGGCGAGAAGUAUGCGGAAUGCGUGGUGUAGCGGUGAAAUGCAUAGAU
rnacentral:rRNA from 1 species